UACAGAGGGGGCAAGCGUUGUUCGGAAUUACUGGGCGUAAAGGGCGCGUAGGCGGCCUGCUAAGUCGAACGUGAAAUCCCUGGGCUCAACCCAGGAACUGCGUCCGAUACUGGUCGUCUCGAGGGGGAUAGGGGCGUGCGGAACUUCCGGUGGAGCGGUGAAAUGCGUAGAUAUCGGAAGGAACACCGGUGGCGAAAGCGGCGCGCUGGAUCCCUUCUGACGCUGAGGCGCGAAAGCCAGGGGAGCGAACGGG
rnacentral:rRNA from 1 species